rnacentral:rRNA from 1 species
UGAGGAAUAUUGGACAAUGGGCGCAAGCCUGAUCCAGCCAUGCCGCGUGAGUGAAGAAGGCCCUAGGGUUGUAAAACUCUUUCAGCAGUGAAGAUAAUGACGGUAACUGCAGAAGAAGCCCCGGCUAAUUUCGUGCCAGCAGCCGCGGUAAUACGAAAGGGGCUAGCGUUGUUCGGAAUUACUGGGCGUAAAGCGCGCGUAGGCGGCCUAGCAAGUUGGGGGUGAAAUCCCGGAGCUCAACUCCGGAACUGCCUUCAAAACUGCUAAGCUCGAGUCCGGAAGAGGAGAGUGGAAUUCCUAGUGUAGAGGUGAAAUUCGUAGAUAUUAGGAAGAACACCAGUGGCGAAGGCGACUCUCUGGUCCGGUACUGACGCUGAGGCGCGAAAGCGUGGGGAGCAAACAGGAUUAGAUACCCCCGUAGUCC